UUAAGACGUGACUUUUCUCCUCCUUCGCCUUCUGCCAUGAUUGUGAGGCCUCCCCAGCCUUGUGGAACUGGGUCCCCAACCUCCUCUGAGCCAUCAACAGGUACCAGUUUGUGGCCUGUUAGGAACUGGGCUGCACAGCAGGAGUUGCCUUUUGGCCUGCCACACUCCCAUCCUGUUCCCGUAAAAGCCUGAGAUCUAGAGGGCACACACACAAGCGGCUGGACAUCAAGAGGAGCAGGACACACCAGCAGACACCGGCAGACCAACAACAGCAGAACGACUCGGACGCCAAGGCGAGUUUGGCUAGGGGCGGUUGAAGAAGAGUCCAGCCCCUGGGUGGCCUGUGUCCAGGGAAAAAUCACCUUCUCACUCCAUCCCCCUUCUGACUCCCCAUCCAUCUCACUGAGAGCUACCUCCACCACUCAAUAAAACCUUGCACUCAUCCUCCAAGCCCACGUGUGACCUGAUUUUUCUGGUACACUAGGGCAAGAAC